rnacentral:rRNA from 1 species
UACGUAGGGGGCAAGCGUUGUCCGGAUUUAUUGGGCGUAAAGAGCUCGUAGGCGGUUGGGCAAGUCACGUGUGAAAUCUCCACGCUCAACGUGGAGGCGCCACGUGAGACUGCCCUGACUCGAGUCCGGUAGGGGAGCGUGGAAUUCCCGGUGUAGCGGUGAAAUGCGCAGAGAUCGGGAGGAACACCCGUAGCGAAGGCGGGGCUCUGGGCCGGUACUGACGCUGAGGAGCGAAAGCGUGGGGAGCAAACAGG